CAGGAUCUGGAUUCUUCUCGGUUCAUUUAGGGACAAUUAAAAUUAUGAAGGCAGCCCAACUCACAAGAGUCUCUUAUAUAAACCAGGAUUAUUGAUCUGUGAUCUGAGGCAUACCUGACAAGCCAAGGGGAUCUCCCCAGGAAAGGAAGCUGCUUGAGAAACUGAAGAUCAGAAGUUGAUUGCUAAGAAUACACCAGAGCCUCAGAGUCAGUGGCACAAAGAGAGGCUUCUGUCAAGCCGUGGCUGUCCCGAAUCCCCUGUCUGCACGGAUGAGGAAAUCUGAAGUUCGGGGAGAGUAAAUGGUUUACCAAGGUCAGAGGACCAGUGUUAAUCAUAAGAAAUGACUUCCAUAAAUGGCAUUUUCCUGGAGCACAGAAGAGCAGGACUUCUCGGGAGGAUGUUACAGAGCAGGUAACCCUUGGGCAGGGUCUUGGAAGAUGAAUUUACCAAGUGGAUGGGGAUGGGAUGAUGGUGUCUGGCCAAAGAAAUGGAAUUUCACAAAGACCCGUUUAUGGGGGAAGAGCAGCAAACGGACAGGAUCAUGGCUGUUCUGGAAGGAUGGUACAUGGGACAGUUCUCUGAGAAAGAAAUGGAAAAUUUUAUUGGAGCUAACCUGAGGAU